GACAGAGGGGGCAAGCGUUGCUCGGAAUUACUGGGCGUAAAGGGCGCGUAGGCGGGAUGGCAAGUCGGUCGUGAAAUCCCUCGGCUCAACCGAGGAACGUCGAUCGAUACUGCUGUUCUUGAGGAUUGCAGAGGAGACUGGAAUUCCCGGUGUAGCGGUGAAAUGUGGUAGAGAUCGGGAGGAACACCGGUGGCGAAGGCGGGGUCUCUGGGCAAUUCCUGACGCUGAGGCGCGAAAGCGUGGGGAGCAAACGGG
rnacentral:rRNA from 1 species